AGCAGCCGCGGUAAUUCCAGCUCCAAUAGCGUAUAUUAAAGUUGUUGCAGUUAAAAGCUCGUAGUUGAAUUUCGGGAUCAAUAUGUUGGUCGUGCCUCGGUACGUACUAGCUUAUUGGUUUCUCCUUUCUGAAGAACCAUGAUGUCAUUUAUUUGGUGUCGUGGGGAAUCAGGACUGUUACUUUGAAAAAUUAGAGUGUUUAAAGCAGGCUCACGCUUGAAUACAUUAGCAUGGAAUAAUGAAAUAGGACGUUUGAUUCUAUUUUGUUGGUUUCUAGGAUCGACGUAAUGAUUAAUAGGGAUAGUUGGGGGCAUUAGUAUUCAAUUGUCAGAGGUGAAAUUCUUGGAUUUAUUGAAGACUAACUACUGCGAAAGCAUUUGCCAAGGAUGUUUUCAUUAAUCAAGAACGAAAGUUAGGGGAUCGAAGACGAUCAGAUACCGUCGUAGUCUUA
rnacentral:misc_RNA from 1 species